CCUACGGGAGGCAGCAGUCGAGAAUCAUUCACAAUGGGGGAAACCCUGAUGGGGCGACGCCGCGUGGGGGAAUGAAGGUCUGCGGAUUGUAAACCCCUGUCAUGUGGGAGCAAAUUAAAAAGAUAGUACCACAAGAGGAAGAGACGGCUAACGCUGUGCCAGCAGCCGCGGUAAUACAGAGGGCUCAAGCGUAGUUCGGAAUCACGGGGCGUAAAGCGUGCGGAGGCUGUUUCGUAAGUCGUGUGUGAAAGGCGCGGGCUCAACCCGCGGACGGCACAUGAUACUGCGAGACUAGAGUAAUGGUGGGGGAACCGGAAUUCUCGGUGUAGCCGU
rnacentral:rRNA from 1 species